rnacentral:rRNA from 1 species
GACGAACGCUGGCGGCGUGCUUAACACAUGCAAGUCGAGCGGUAAGGCCCUUUCGGGGGUACACGAGCGGCGAACGGGUGAGUAACACGUGGGUGACCUGCCCUCAGCUCUGGGAUAAGCCUGGGAAACCGGGUCUAAUACUGGAUAUGACUCCAUGACGCAUGUUGUGGGGUGGAAAGCCUUGUGCGGCUGAGGAUGGGCCCGCGGCCUAUCAGCUUGUUGGUGGGGUGGNGGCCUACCAAGGCGACGACGGGUAGCCGGCCUGAGAGGGCGACCGGCCACACUGGGACUGAGACACGGCCCAGACUCCUACGGGAGGCAGCAGUGGGGAAUCUUGCGCAAUGGGCGAAAGCCUGACGCAGCGACGCCGCGUGAGGGAUGACGG